rnacentral:rRNA from 1 species
GUCGGGAAUAUUGCGCAAUGGAGGAAACUCUGACGCAGUGACGCCGCGUAUAGGAAGAAGGUUUUCGGAUUGUAAACUAUUGUCGUUAGGGAAGAUACAAGACAGUACCUAAGGAGGAAGCUCCGGCUAACUAUGUGCCAGCAGCCGCGGUAAUACAUAGGGAGCAAGCGUUAUCCGGAUUUAUUGGGUGUAAAGGGUGCGUAGACGGGAGAGCAAGUUAGUUGUGAAAUCCCUCGGCUUAACUGAGGAACUGCAACUAAAACUGUUUUUCUUGAGUAUCGGAGAGGAAAGUGGAAUUCCUAGUGUAGCGGUGAAAUGCGUAGAUAUUAGGAGGAACACCAGUGGCGAAGGCGACUUUCUGGACGAUAACUGACGUUGAGGCACGAAAGUGUGGGGAGCAAACAGGAUUAGAAACCCCUGUAGUCC